UUAUGACUAAAGAUGGCGGAGAAGUUGUUUGAUUCCACGAUGUGAAGGACGAGAAUGCAGCCGAACGUCAAGGGAAAUCUGCUUUCAGGUAGAAUGAAAGACUAAAAGAGAAAAUCCUUUCGCAAUGGUUGGAUUGAUGUCCUUUGGAAUUUCCAUUACAUUGGUGUAAGACACAGCCUUUAUUGACUCAGAGAGAAUUUCACAGUUUUUCAUCACUCAUGGCCGUAUGGAGUUUUGCUUUUAGAUUACCAAGGUCAUGCAGUUUGACAUGAGCACACGAGGACCUGCACCCGCAAGUCUGAGUACCUGCGUUGCUGGGAUGAUAUGGUCCUACAGUUGUUGUGGCCAUGAUUUAAGUCUACGUUUCGUCUUUUGUUCCGCAAAGAAAAAAAAAGAGCUUUUGUCCUUGCUAAGAGACAAAAAAACAGCGGAAAGAUACAAGUUCCUUACAAUCUCACUGGGGGUGCCUCUUUCAACGAUAAACCGAAAAACAACGAAAAUAAAAUUUAUACACUCAACCAUUAUCUUUAAAAUGUUUGAACAAAGCGCCUUUCGAAUAUUAAAAUUCCG